GCUCAUCAAGUUGUGCUGUUCUGUUUCUAGAUGGUGGAUUUGGGUGUCCUGUGAAGCAAUGCCUCGUGGUCCAAAAGCGAACAUGUCUGGUAAGUCACUUCUUAAACUUGGGAAGUAGGCCAGGCCUUCAAGUGUGAACAGGAGAUGGUGCGAAUUGACUUGCGUAGUAGCCCAGGUCUUCAGGUGUGAGCAGGAGAUGGUGUGAAUUGACUUGAACAGUAGCCCAGGUCUUCGGGUGUGAACAGGAGAUGGUGUGAAUUGACUUGAACAGUAGCCCAGGUCUUCAGGUGUGAACAGGAGAUGGUGUGAAUUGACUUGAACAGUAGCCCAGGUCUUCAGGUGUGAACAGGAGAUGGUGUGAAUUGACUUGAACAGUAGCCUGGGUCUUUAAGUGUGGGCAGGAGAUGGUGUGUUUGGGUCUAUGGACACCUUUGAGAGGGUUCUCUUCACAAGGCUAAUGGCUCUGUUAGCUAUUCUACCUUGUGAAGGCUAGUCCCUUCUAGAACCAGCAGGGCUUAGUGUACAUGGGGUUGGAUAAGCCUGAAGCUCCGCUUUUGCUGUUAAACCUGAAACAUAGUAGGAGCUCUGCGCUGAGCCAGGACAGCC